rnacentral:tRNA from 1 species
GAGUGGGUAGCUCGGUGGUUGGAGCUUAGGUCUUGUGAUCGGAAGGUCCUGGGAUCGAAUCCCGACAGAGGCA